GGGCGAUUAGCACAGCUGGUUAGUGCGCGCGGUUCACAUCCGCGAGGUCGUUGGUUCGAAUCCAACAUCGCCCACCG
rnacentral:tRNA from 1 species